rnacentral:rRNA from 1 species
GACGAACGCUGGCGGCGUGCUUAACACAUGCAAGUCGUACGGUAAGGCCCUUUCGGGGGUCCACGAGUGGCGAACGGGUGAGUAACACGUGAGUAACCUGCCCACAACUUUGGGAUAACGCUAGGAAACUGGUGCCAAUACUGGAUAUGUGCUCCUGCUGCAUGGUGGGGGUUGGAAAGCUCCGGCCGUUGUGGAUGGACUCGCGGCAUAUCGGCUCGUUGGUGGGGUAGUGGGCUACCAAGGCGGCGACGGGUAGCCGGCCUGAGAGGGUGACCGGCCACAUUGGGACUGAGAGACGGCCCAGACUCCUACGGGUGGCAGCAGUGGGGAAUAUUGCACAAUGGGCGCCAGCCGGAUGCAGCAACGCCGCGUGCGGGAUGACGGCCUUCGGGUUGUAAACCGCUUUCAGCAGGGACGAAGCUUUUUGUGACGGUACCUGCAGAAGAAGCACCGGCUAACUACGUG